rnacentral:rRNA from 1 species
CAAGUCGAACGCGAAAGCCUGGGCAACUGGGCGAGUAGAGUGGCGCACGGGUGAGUAACACGUGGGUAACCUACCUUCGAGUGGGGAAUAACUCCUCGAAAGGGGAGCUAAUACCGCAUAAGACCACGACCUCUUCGGGGGUUGCGAUCAAAGGUAGCCUCAUUACGCAGAGUGUUUGGGACGAUCUUCCCGAGCGGAGGAUGGUCCUUAGCGCUUUGCACAGUGAAGCUGCUGCUCGAAGAGGGGCCCGCGUCCCAUCAGCUAGUUGGUAGGGUAACGGCCUACCAAGGCGACGACGGGUAGCUGGUCUGAGAGGACGACCAGCCACACGGGAAUUGAGAUACGGUCCCGACUCCUACGGGAGGCAGCAGUGGGGAAUCUUGGGCAAUGGGGGAAACCCUGACCCAGCGACGCCGCGUGGGGGAUGAAGGCUUUCGGGUCGUAAACCCCUGUUAGGUGGGACGAAUGUCCCCCUGCAAAUAGCUGGGGGAUUUGACGGUACCACCAGAGAAAGCCCCGGCUAACUCCGUGCCAGCAGCCGAGGUAAUACGGAGGGGGCGAGUGUUGUUCGGAAUUACUGGGCGUAAAGGGCGCGCAGGCGGCCUGGCAAGUCGAGUGUGAAAUCCCUUGGCUUAACUGAGGAAUGGCGCUCGAAACUACCUCGCUGGAGGGCGGGAGAGGGAAGUGGAACUCUCGGUGUAGGGGUGAAAUCUGUAGAUAUCGAGAGGAACACCGGUGGCGAAGGCGGCUUCCUGGCCCGUACCUGACGCUGAGGCGCGAAAGCGUGGGGAGCAAACAGGAUUAGAUACCCUG